rnacentral:rRNA from 1 species
CAGCCGCCGCGGGAAUACGUAGGGUGCAAGCGUUAAUCGGAAUUACUGGGCGUAAAGCGUGCGCAGGCGGUUCGCUAAGACAGAUGUGAAAUCCCCGGGCUUAACCUGGGAACUGCAUUUGUGACUGGCGGGCUAGAGUAUGGCAGAGGGGGGUAGAAUUCCACGUGUAGCAGUGAAAUGCGUAGAGAUGUGGAGGAAUACCGAUGGCGAAGGCAGCCCCCUGGGCCAAUACUGACGCUCAUGCACGAAAGCGUGGGGAGCAAACAGGAUUAGAUACCCGGGUAGUCCCUGUCUCUUAUAC